rnacentral:rRNA from 1 species
CCUACGAGAGGCAGCAGUGAGGAAUAUUGGUCAAUGGACGGAAGUCUGAACCAGCCAAGUCGCGUGCAGGAAGACGGCUCUAUGAGUUGUAAACUGCUUUUGUACAAGGGUAAAACAGAAUAUGUGUAUUCAGCUGAAAGUACUGUACGAAUAAGGAUCGGCUAACUCCGUGCCAGCAGCCGCGGUAAUACGGAGGAUCCAAGCGUUAUCCGGAUUUAUUGGGUUUAAAGGGUGCGUAGGUGGAUUGUUAAGUUAGAUGUGAAAGUUUCCGGCUUAACUCGUGAACUGCCUUUAAUACUGUUGAUCUAGAGAAUAGAUGCGGUAGGCGGAAUGUGUGGUGUAGCGGUGAAAUGCUUAGAGAUCAUACAGAACACCGAUUGCGAAGGCAGCUUACCAAUCUAUAUCUGACGCUGAGGCACGAAAGCGUGGGUAUCAAACAGGAUUAGAUACCCGAGUAGUC